GUCACCAAAACAGGGUCAGCAUAGGGUGCUCAGAGCGGGACUAUUCACAGAGCCCUACUGACGGUCCCACCCUCUACAGGCAGGGCCUGGGGGAACUCUGCCAGGCCGGGCACUGUCCCCCUUCUCUAGGGAGGCCUCAUGGCCCAUGGGCGGGCACUUUGGGCUCCUUCACAUCUAAGAUUGAAUCCUGACUCUGCCAUUCUCUGCAUGAGCUCGGAAAGCCUCAUUCUUUUCAUCUGUACAAUGGAGAUAAUAAUAUCUGCUUAACGUUGUUGUGAGGAUUAAAUGAGAUAGGAUAUAUAGCCCCCAACACACUGGCACAGGGAUCACGCAGAUGAUCAAAAAGCCAGUUCAGAGUGUCUCAGUCACUUUCCAAGACUAAACAAUAAGUAAAUGUCAGAGCCAGAUUCAAACCUCAGUUGACCCAACUCUAAGUCACGCUCCAGCUCCGCAUGGCCUCUCACCAAAAAAUUAUCACCAUGGCCCUUGCCAACAAACGCUGAUAAUCCAAGGGAAGCUGGAAAACGUACCCAAAACAGCCUUAAGGACAUACAUGUGCAGCACCUGCCAACACAUGCACACUGGGAGGAGCCUCAGCCCUCUGGCAGGCUGGUGCACGGUCAGACGGAGCACUGGCUGGGACAGAAGGAGCCGGAGCUCCAGAAUUUCUCUUUAAGAGGAGCUGAGGAAGUGGCAAGCUGGUAGGAAGAUGGGGCUGGGGACUCGGGAUAAGCUGCACUGCACGGUGUGGAGUAUCCUUCACCCACCCUGACUGUCGAUCUAAAACCCAGAUGCCCGGACGGAGGUGACUUCCCGAGAAGGGCUCUAUCUGGAGAAGACCUCUGGGGCCCUGACUUCUCAGCUCAGGCUGGGCCUGGCUCUGCUUCACAGACCCCAUCAUUACCAUCAGAAAUUCUCUACUCAGCGCUCGCUGAAGCUCAGGGUGAGCGGGGCAGCAGAGGUACGGAGCCCAAGAGUGGGGUGAAGGACACACCGGGGGGCCCUUCCUGUGGCCUUCGUGGCCGGCGUGGUGAGCAUCUGGUCCCACUUAGGAGUUGGUUUGACAUUUGUGUGGUCCCCAAAGCUCGUGUGGUUUUUGAAACCUUACGAAACGUUCAAAAUAAAUUCCUCCAGCUUGAAAAAGCUGAGGCCCA